AGUUGAUAUUUUGUCACUGCUGAUCAAACAACGUGUGUUUUUUAAACGUAUUUUAAAGAUUUCGUGUUUUUUAAUAAAUGAAAAAUAUAUAUAAUUUCGUUAUUUUGUGCAAUUUAUAAUUAAGAGAAAAGAGGAUAAAUAAAUAAAAAUAAAAUAAAAAAUUGUUUCACAAAAGUGGAUACAAAAAGAAAAGUGAUUAAAAUUUGUACACGCAAAUUGGCGGAAGAAAAAAAUUAACAAAUAUAUUUAAAAAAAAGUCUAAAAAUUUAUUUCAAAUAAAGUGUCUGCGUUGCAACAUAAAAAAGUGUUCAACAGUAAAAAUAUAUUUUGUGAAUUAAAACACAGAAAAAAAAUCUAAAAAUAAAUUCAAUAAAAAGCAGUUGGUAACAAAAACAUAAAAAAUAAAAUAACAAAAAAUUUGAUAAAGAGAGGAAUAGAAAAACCCCACGACAGAGCGUAAACAAAACAAAAACCACAACAACCUUUUAUUUUCUGUGGAUUUUCCUUUUUAUUUUUAAUAAAGGGAAAAUCAAAAUUUUCGUUUGGGUGUCCGUAACAUUUUGCGUCCGAUUUUUUACUAUUUUUAUAGUUUCCAAUGUAGCCCUUUGGGUUUUUCUUAACACGAGCGUGAGUGCGAUAAGUUUCUAUGAACAGAGUUCGUGUUAAUUGUGAAAUUUCAUUUAAUUUAUAAUUUAUUAAAUGCUAUUUACAUUUUAUAUAAUUUCGUUCUACGUUCAUCUCGAGAAAGCAAUAUUGCCAUAAUUUGUAUUAAAAAAGAACAACAAAAAGUAAAUACUCUCCAAUUCAUUUUUUAAUUUUGUUGUGAGUCAGUCACGAGAUAUUGGAAUUUUUGGUAUUUCAAUGGGGUGACUUGUGAAAUUUAAUUUAACUCCUGAACCCGGGACUAAAAGGGAAUUUUAUACAAUAAAUCCGUUCCUGACAAAAGACAAACUUUUUUCUACACUUAAACACAAUAUUUUUGGCCUUGAAAACACCAAAAGAAAAACACCAUUUAAGUAAUUUUCCUACAUAACCCUAUAAGCAACUAAAUACAGGAAUUUUUACUACUCUAAAAGCUUUUCUACAACUAAACCCUCCAGAAACAAAGUACUUAUUAAUUUAUUGCAAAACUACACAAAACUCUCCCCCACCCCCUUAAUAAAUACACCACUAAAAGAAAAAGAGAACUAAAAAGGGAAGUUGAAAAAGUAAAACAUCAAUUCAAAAUUCCCUUAUAAAGACUUUCUCCGAUGACCAACAAGGUCGUUUUAAAAGAGAAAGUAGACACCCACUACUACUGCUGCUCGGGUCUGUACGUUAUAGUUGAGGACAAUACAAACGCUAAAAUCCUGUCUGCUCAGGGACACUCAUAUGCUGCCAGAGCUGAUUUGAACUACUAUUCGAAAUAACGUUAACAACAAAAAAAACAA